UUUCCGGUUGAUCCUGCCGGACCUGACUGCUAUCGGAUUGAUACUAAGCCAUGCGAGUCAUUGUAGCAAUACAAGGCAGACGGCUCAGUAACGCGUAGUCAAUCUACCCUAUGGACGGGGAUAACCUCGGGAAAGUGAGAAUAAUACCCGACAGAACAUUAUGCCUGGAAUGGCUUAUGUUUUAAAUGAUUUAUCGCCGUAGGAUGGGACUGCGGCCUAUCAGUUUGUUGGUGAGGUAAUGGCCCACCAAGACUAUUACAGGUACGGGCUCUGAGAGGAGUGGCCCGGAUAUGGGUACUGAGACACGGGCCCAGGCCCUAUGGCGCGCAGCAGGCGAGAAAACUUUGCAAUGGGCGAAAGCACGACGAGGUUAAUCCGAGUGGUUUCUGCUAAAAAAACCUUUUGUUACUCCUAGACCCAYUGGYGAAUAAGGGGUGGUCAAGUUCUCGUGUCAUCCGCCGCGGUAAAACCAGCACCUCAAGAGGUCAGGAUGAUUAUUGGGCCUAAGGCAUCGGUAGCUUGCUUUGAAAGUUCUCGGUUAAAUCCAUACGCUUAACGUAUGGGCUGCCGGUAAUACUGCAAAGCUACGGAGUGGGAGAGGUAGACGGUACUCGGUAGGAAGGGGUAAAAUCCUUUGAUCUAUUGAUGACCACGUGUGGCGAAGGCGGUCUACCAGAACACGUCCGACGGUGAGGGAUGAAAGCUGGGGGAGCAAACCCGAUUAGAUACCCGGGUAGUCCCAGCUGUAAACUAUGCAAACUCAGUGAUGCACUGGCUUGUGGCCAAUGCAGUGCUGCAGGGAAGCCGUUAAGUUUGCCGCCUGGGAAGUACGUACGCAAGUAUGAAACUUAAAGGAAUUGGCGG
rnacentral:rRNA from 1 species